AGUGAACGCUGGCGGUAGGCCUAACACAUGCAAGUCGAACGGCAGCACAGUAAGAGCUUGCUCUUACGGGUGGCGAGUGGCGGACGGGUGAGGAAUACAUCGGAAUCUACUUUUUCGUGGGGGAUAACGUAGGGAAACUUACGCUAAUACCGCAUACGACCUACGGGUGAAAGCAGGGGAUCUUCGGACCUUGCGCGAUUGAACGAGCCGAUGUCGGAUUAGCUAGUUGGCGGGGUAAAGGCCCACCAAGGCGACGAUCCGUAGCUGGUCUGAGAGGAUGAUCAGCCACACUGGAGCUGGGACACGGUCCAGACUCCUACGAGAGGCAGCAGUGGGGAAUAUUGGACAAUGGGCGCAAGCCUGAUCCAGCCAUACCGCGUGGGUGAAGAAGGCCUUCGGGUUGUAAAGCCCUUUUGUUGGGAAAGAAAAGCAGCAGGUUAAUACCCCGCUGUUCUGACGGUACCCAAAGAAUAAGCACCGGCUAACUUCGUG
rnacentral:rRNA from 1 species